UUUACGGAGAGUUUGAUCCUGGCUCAGGACGAACGCUGGCGGCGUGCCUAAUACAUGCAAGUCGAACGAGGACCAGGUGCUUGCACCUGGAACCGAGUGGCGAACGGGUGAGUAACACGUGACCAACCUGCCGUCAGGUGGGGGACAACCUGGGGAAACCCGGGCUAAUACCGCAUGAUAUCCGCGUCCCGCAUGGGAUGCGGACCAAAGGGGGCCUCUGCUUGCAAGCUCCCGCCAGGCGAGGGGGUCGCGGCGUAUCAGCUUGUUGGUGAGGUAACGGCUCACCAAGGCGAUGACGCGUAGUGGGUCUGAGAGGACGACCCGCCACAUUGGGACUGAGAUACGGCCCAGACUCCUACGGGAGGCAGCAGUAGGGAAUAUUGCGCAAUGGCCGCAAGGCUGACGCAGCGACGCCGCGUGUGGGAGGGAGCCCUUCGGGGUGUAAACCACUGUCAGGGGGGAAGAACUUCGUGGGCGUGAACAGCGUUCGCGGUUGACGGUACCCCCAGAGGAAGCGCCGGCUAACUCCGUGCCAGCAGCCGCGGUAAGACGGAGGGCGCAAGCGUUGUUCGGAAUCACUGGGCGUAAAGCGCUCGCAGGCGGUCCCUUAAGUCCGCCGUGAAACUCCGGGGCUCAACCCCGGACUGGCGACGGAUACUGGGGGACUGGAGACUGGUAGAGGCUAGCGGAAUUCUUGGUGUAGCGGUGGAAUGCGUAGAUAUCAGGAAGAACACCGGUGGCGAAGGCGGCUAGCUGGGCCAGUUCUGACGCUCAUGAGCGAAAGCGUGGGGAGCAAACAGGAUUAGAUACCCUGGUAGUCCACGCCGUAA
rnacentral:rRNA from 1 species